rnacentral:rRNA from 1 species
GGGGAAUUUUGGACAAUGGGCGCAAGCCUGAUCCAGCCAUGCCGCGUGUCUGAAGAAGGCCUUCGGGUUGUAAAGGACUUUUGUCAGGGAAGAAAAGGCUGUUGCUAAUACCGACAGCUGAUGACGGUACCUGAAGAAUAAGCACCGGCUAACUACGUGCCAGCAGCCGCGGUAAUACGUAGGGUGCGAGCGUUAAUCGGAAUUACUGGGCGUAAAGCGAGCGCAGACGGUUACUUAAGCAGGAUGUGAAAUCCCCGGGCUCAACCUGGGAACUGCGUUCUGAACUGGGUGACUAGAGUGUGUCAGAGGGAGGUAGAAUUCCACGUGUAGCAGUGAAAUGCGUAGAGAUGUGGAGGAAUACCGAUGGCGAAGGCAGCCUCCUGGGAUAACACUGACGUUCAUGCUCGAAAGCGUGGGUAGCAAACAGGAUUAGAUACCCUGAUAGUCCACGCCCUAAACGAUGUCAAUUAGCUGUUGGGCAACUUGAUUGCUUAGUAGCGUAGCUAACGCGUGAAAUUGACCGCCUGGGGAGUACGGUCGCAAGAUUA